rnacentral:rRNA from 1 species
UACGUAGGGUGCGAGCGUUAAUCGGAAUUACUGGGCGUAAAGCGUGCGCAGGCGGUGAGCUGUGUCCGAUGUGAAAGCCCCGGGCUUAACCUGGGAACCGCGCUUGAGACUGGCACGCUAGAGUUCGGGAGAGGAUGGUGGAAUUCCCAGUGUAGAGGUGAAAUUCGUAGAUAUUGGGAAGAACACCGAUGGCGAAGGCAGCCAUCUGGACCGACACUGACGCUGAGGCGCGAAAGCGUGGGGAGCAAACAGG